rnacentral:rRNA from 1 species
UACGUAGGCAGCGAGCGUUGUUCGGAGUUACUGGGCGUAAAGGGCUCGUAGGCGGCCAACUAAGUCGGACGUGAAGUCCCCAGGCUCAACCUGGGAACUGCGUCCGAUACUGGAUGGCUUGAAUCCGGGAGAGGGAUGCAGAAUUCCAGGUGUAGCGGUGAAAUGCGUAGAUAUCUGGAGGAAUACCGGUGGCGAAGGCGGCAUCCUGGACCGGCAUUGACGCUGAGGAGCGAAAGCCAGGGGAGCAAACGGG